UCAUCUCUGUACCCCACACAUACAAUUAUCUGUAAGGUCCCUCAUCUCUGUACCCCACACAUACAAUUAUCUGUAAGGUCCCUCAUCUCUGUACCCCACACAUACAAUUAUCUGUAAGGUCCCUCAUCUCUGUACCCCACACAUACAAUUAUCUGUAAGGUCCCUCAUCUCUGUACCCCACACAUACAAUUAUCUGUAAGGUCCCUCAUCUCUGUACCCCCACACAUACAAUUAUCUGUAAGGUCCCUCAUCUCUGUACCCCCACACAUACAAUUAUCUGUAAGGUCCCUCAUCUCUGUACCCCACACAUACAAUUAUCUGUAAGGUCCCUCAUCUCUGUACCCCACACAUACAAUUAUCUGUAAGGUCCCUCAUCUCUGUACCCCACACAUACAAUUAUCUGUAAGGUCCCUCAUCUCUGUACCCCACACAUACAAUUAUCUGUAAGGUCCCUCAUCUCUGUACCCCACACAUACAAUUAUCUGAAAGGUCCCUCAUCUCUGUACCCCACACAUACCAUUAUCUGUAAGGUCCCUCAUCUCUGUACCCCACACAUACAAUUAUCUGUAAGGUCCCUCAUCUCUGUACCCCACACAUACAAUUAUCUGUAAGGUCCCUCAUCUCUGUACCCCACACAUACAAUUAUCUGUAAGGUCCCUCAUCUCUGUACCCCACACAUACAAUUAUCUGUAAGGUCCCUCAUCUCUGUACCCCACACAUACAAUUAUCUGUAAGGUCCCUCAUCUCUGUACCCCACACAUACAAUUAUCUGUAAGGUCCCUCAUCUCUGUACCCCACACAUACAAUUAUCUGUAAGGUCCCUCAUUUGAGUUGUGAGUUUCAAGCACAGAUUUAAUCACAAAGACCAGGGAGGUUUUUCAAUGC